AAUGACGUCACUUCCGGUUUCGGGCAGCUCACGGCGGACAUGCCAUAGUUCGUGCUGAUGGAGUAGGAAGUGUUACAAACAGCUGAUUGGAUCGGCAAAGCGUGUUUCUGGAAUAUUAUGUUUUUGUUGCUGCAAGCGCUUUUUAUGCAGUUUUUGCAAAGCUAUAUGUGGAAGGAAACCGUGACCUAGGACAAGCUGAUGGCAUAAAAUAUUUGUGGAGGGGAAUUGGAAGCAGGAAAUCGCUGCACGUCAGCAGGUGAAAAGAAAAGAGAGGGAGGAAGUUAAGUUGGACAUGUGUGUGUGUGUCACAGAGAUCACACAGCUGAGGCAUGUGGAGGUGUACAACACAUAGGUGUUUUGACUGACAGCUUCUAGCUGUAAUCACGUGUAUGAUUGUUUCCACAUGUGAAACGGAUGUAAAAAUGAUUGGAUGAAAAAUCCCCCCGUGGCCGGCAGUCUGAAUAAAGGCUGUGAAGUCGUGUCAACAUGGUUUCAGUUAUCCUGCAGGAAACAUCUGGAACCCACCUACCAAGCUCUCCUGGAUUCCAGUUUUCAGCUGCCGGUAACCUCUCCCUUUUCCAACGGCCAGUCUCUCCUGC